UAGAGUUUGAUCCUGGCUCAGGAUAAACGCUGGCGGCGUGCCUAAUACAUGCAAGUCGAGCGNACAGAUAAGGAGCUUGCUCCUUUGACGUUANCGUCGGACGGGUGAGUAACACGUGGGUAACCUACCUAUAAGACUGGGAUAACUUCGGGAAACCGGAGCUAAUACCGGAUAACAUUUGGAACCGCAUGGUUCUAAAGUGAAAGAUGGUUUUGCUAUCACUUAUAGAUGGACCCGCGCCGUAUUAGCUAGUUGGUAAGGUAACGGCUUACCAAGGCGACGAUACGUAGCCGACCUGAGAGGGUGAUCGGCCACACUGGAACUGAGACACGGUCCAGACUCCUACGGGAGGCAGCAGUAGGGAAUCUUCCGCAUAUGGGCGAAAGCCUGACGGAGCAACGCCGCGUGAGUGAUGAAGGGUUUCGGCCUCGUAAAUACUNCUGUUAUUAGGGAAGAACAAAUGUGUAAGUAACUGUGCACGUNCUUGUACGGUACCUAAUCAGAAAGGNNCGGCCUAAAAACG
rnacentral:rRNA from 1 species